rnacentral:misc_RNA from 1 species
AACCACAUUCCUCUCAGGCAUUUCUUCAAAUACAUGUCUUGCAUCACCCAAACAGUCACACUUAGUAUAAAGAACAAUCAAUCUGGUUCUGAGAUAAGGAGGUGGGAGAUAACACGUUUUGAUCAUGUGGGCAUGGACCCUUUGGCCUUCUCUUAUGGCCUUUCUGUUCACGCAAUCAUUCAACAGCGUGUUGUAGCCAUCAAAUAUCAUUUCAGGACCUUUAAAAGCCAUUUGUAGUAAGGACUCUUGAAGGUGGCCAUUGAUGCAUUGAGAGUUUAAAUUUGGCUUCAAUGGCGGGAAAGAUGAGAGAGAGAGUUGGCGGGUAAACAGGCUAAAGAAUAUGGAAUGAUGAUUAUACAGCAAUUUCAUGUCCUGCCUCCUGCUGUACUGAUUUGAGCAACUUAUAAAAUUGUCCUUCUGAGUAAUGAGGGAACUUGCCACAGAUAUUUUUUAUCAUCUCAGAGAUGGGGACGGGGAG